GUGGCUCGUAGAGGAGUAGACUUCGGUCUGCUACCUCUUACCCAUGUCUUUUGAGUACCUUCGUUUCCUCGGCGGGUCCGCCCGCCGGUUGGACAACAUUCAAACCCUUUGCAGUUGCAAUCAGCGUCUGAAAAAACAUAAUAGUUACAACUUUCAACAACGGAUCUCUUGGUUCUGGCAUCGAUGAAGAACGCAGCGAAAUGCGAUAAGUAGUGUGAAUUGCAGAAUUCAGUGAAUCAUCGAAUCUUUGAACGCACAUUGCGCCCCUUGGUAUUCCAUGGGGCAUGCCUGUUCGAGCGUCAUUUGUACCUUCAAGCUCUGCUUGGUGUUGGGUGUUUUGUCUCGCCUCUGCGUGUAGACUCGCCUUAAAACAAUUGGCAGCCGGCGUAUUGAUUUCGGAGCGCAGUACAUCUCGCGCUUUGCACUCAUAACGACGACGUCCAAAAGUACAUUUUUACACUCUUGACCUCGGAUCAGGUAGGGAUACCCGCUGAACUUAAGCAUAUCAAGCG
rnacentral:rRNA from 1 species